rnacentral:rRNA from 1 species
UGCUGUUUUGACGUUACCGACAGAAUAAGCACCGGCUAACUCUGUGCCAGCAGCCGCGGUAAUACAGAGGGUGCAAGCGUUAAUCGGAAUUACUGGGCGUAAAGCGCACGCAGGCGGUCUGUCAAGUCGGAUGUGAAAUCCCCGGGCUCAACCUGGGAACUGCGUUCUGAACUGGGUGACUAGAGUGUGUCAGAGGGAGGUAGAAUUCCACGUGUAGCAGUGAAAUGCGUAGAGAUGUGGAGGAAUACCGAUGGCGAAGGCAGCCAUCUGGCCUAAUACUGACGCUGAGGUACGAAAGCAUGGGGAGCAAACAGGAUUAGAUACCCUGGUAGUCCAUGCCGUAAACGAUGUCUACUAGCCGUUGGGGCCUUUGAGGCUUUAGUGGCGCAGCUAACGCGAUAAGUAGACCGCCUGGGGAGUACGGUCGCAAGACUAAAACUCAAAUGAAUUGACGGGGGCCCGCACAAGCGGUGGAGCAUGUGGUUUAAUUCGAUGCAACGCGAAGAACCUUACCUGGUCUUGACAUGUCAAGAAGUCUGCAGAGAUGCGGAUGUGCCUUCGGGAACUUGAACACAGGUGCUGCAUGGCUGUCGUCAGCUCGUGUCGUGAGAUGUU